CCUACGGGAGGCAGCAGUGAGGAAUAUUGGUCAAUGGACGAGAGUCUGAACCAGCCAAGCAGCGUGAAGGAUGACUGCCCUAUGGGUUGUAAACUUCUUUUAUAUGGGAAUAAAAUCUUGCACGUGAGGGAUUUUGUAGGUACCAUAUGAAUAAGGAUCGGCUAACUCCGUGCCAGCAGCCGCGGUAAUACGGAGGAUCCGAGCGUUAUCCGGAUUUAUUGGGUUUAAAGGGAGCGUAGGCGGAUUGUUAAGUCAGGUGUGAAAGUUUGGGGCUCAACCGUAAGAUUGCAGUUGAAACUGGCAGUCUUGAGUACAGUAGAGGUGGGCGGAAUGCGUGGUGUAGCGGUGAAAUGCUUAGAUAUCGCGAAGAACUCCGAUUGCGAAGGCAGCUCACUGGACGGCAACUGACGCUGAGGCUCGAAAGUGUGGGUAUCAAACAGGAUUAGAUACCCGUGUAGUC
rnacentral:rRNA from 1 species